rnacentral:lncRNA from 1 species
CUCUCUGGCGAUAGUGAGAAAGACAAAUUGAAAGCCAGUGAGAGAGCGAACAGGGAAUGUCGUCAGAAUGUCAUAGCUGCAGUCUAGGCCAGAGAUGGGCAAGGUCUGGACUAGGUCAGGGGCAGUGCAGGUGAGAAGGACAGAAGAGAAGAGCGUGGGAGAGGUGAGUGGGCUGUGCCGUAUGCAGUAAUGAGAUGGUUAAAUGCAUGGCCUGGGAACCAGAGUGGGUGGGGGACAUUCAACACUGCAGGGAAUAUAAUAAGGCAAGUAAACCUGGGGCCAGGUCAGAGAGAGGGGAGAGGGAGAGUCUAAGUUCUGGUGUGGCACACUCCGGGGCCAGGUGCUGUGCAACAGACACACAGUGACAGCCAGCAGGCAGUCGGGUACGCAAUGCUCACUGCAGAUUCACACUUGAGAGACAAGUUGAUGAGCAAAAUCACGGCCCUGGAUGAAAUGGCACACAGGUGUCUGGGUGAGAUGAGAAUAGGCCACAUGGGAAGCUGGACCCAAGUUGGGUUCUCAGAAAACAUAUGUGGAGAGAGUUUAGAUCGAGUAUUGAAUGUGUUUACGAGGGAUUACCCUUGGCAGGGAGGGAGAGAAAGCAGGAUUGGACAGAAGGAGAAGAAAAGUUGUAACUCAGACCCCAAAGCCUCUGUUGACUGCAAUGGAUCUUCAGAGUUGAAAUAGCUGUCAGAGUUGACCAUAUUGGGCCCAAGUGGCAGCUCUUAUUUCCUUGCCUCCAUCAGAGAGCUCUGUAGGAAGGUGCCUUGGGAAAGACAGAUCUCAAUAGCUCUAGUAAAUCCAUACAGCGGAUGACAUUUAAAGGCCCUGUGCUCAUCACUGAGCUAUUUCUCCCUGGAAGGGGGUCUGCCCUGCUUGGGCCACAGUUGCUAUUAUGUCCAUUUACUAUCACAGUGGGGAAGGGAGUACCCAAUGGCACACAAGGAGAUUAUUUGUGUGCUAACUGGGGUGCAAGGAAUGGAUGCCAAGCAUUUUCUAACUGUCUCCAGUGGGGGCCAACAGUUCUAUCAUCUCUUGGUGAUCAGAGUGGAUUUCUCCACUAAGAUGGUGACUCUUCCCAAGGAGUCCAAAGUGCCCAGCUGCAGCCAUAGCUUAUUGUUUACUUGGACUCUUGCUGCAUUCUCUGGUGGAAAUGGAUCCCUAAUCCUGUAAUCCUGUAAGCACAGGUUUGGGAAGCACAAUCCCCGAAAUGGGCCAUUGACAGUGAUAGGGUGUGGGUUGCUUCUGUUUCCACCCUUGGGUCUGAUCCAUGAGGUCUUCCUACUGGUAGCGUAGCCCCAUUUAAAGCCCUGUGUAUUCACAUGGACAGACUGAUCUUUGACAAAAGGGGCACCUCUCUGUGAUGGUACAUACCUGUAAUUCCCACACCUCAGGAGGCUCAGGCAGAAGCAUUGCAAAUUCAAAGUUAGCCUCAGCAACCUAGUGAGGCCCUAAGCAACUUAGCAAGACCCUGUCUCAAAAUUAAAAAUGAGGCACAGUUAAGAAUGGGGUUCAAUGAAGAUAAGGGUUUGAAAUGAUAGAUGAGAAAUUGGGGAAAUCAAACUUGAUUACCUUUAUUUUUGUUGUAGAAGCAGAACCAGGGUCACCUAAUGAACUUGGGCUUGGGUAGGGUCAGGACUUAGAAAAAAGAGUCCUCAAUAAUUCCCAAACACAGUUUAGGGAAUGUGGGUCUGAGUCUUUAGGGCUGUUGAUGUUGGGGACACGACUGGCUACGACCCACUGUUGCUGAAUCAUGUGGCUUCCUUGGGUGCAGAAGAGGGAGGAGCAUGUUUUGGCCUGUGCUGGCUAGAUGCUGGGAAGGACACUGAGACAAUAGGGUGCUAUUGUCUUAGUUUCCCAUAGUUAUUUAAGGUGUGUUUAGAGAUGAACUCUCUAUUUAAAAAAAAAAUGUGUUUUAUUUUUCCUAUGGAGAGAAAGCAUCAGAAGGUAUGAAAGGGGACUUGAGGUGUGUGUAGGGGGGUCUGUUCCUUUAGAAACCUUUGGCCAAUCUCUCUGCCUUUUGCCCCACUUCUCAAUCCUUCAGGCUGGCUGCUUCCUCUACUCGAGCCCCCAGGCCCAAUUCCUCUGCUGUUUCAUUAGAGGAGACUCUGUUCACUUUCUAUUUUCCAAAGACAUGCUGGAAUUCCUUGACCACAGCUAUCCGUCUUCCCACUCUCUUCAUAGCCACAGGAUUAUAUGUUUGACAUCAUUUACUAUCCUAUUUAUAGGUUUAGACUACAGACAAUCCCUGAUCACACAGUUUGAUCUAUGAUUUUUCAACUAUUUAAUGGUCUGGAGGUGCUACACAUUAAGUAGAAACUGUACUCAGUUUCUACUUGCUAGCAAUACACAAUCCUAUCCUCUCUGGUGAGGCUAAAUAGCUCCCAGUCAGCCACAGUCAUGAGCAGAAAUAACUGAUUCUCUAUCGUGCACUGUGUUGCCAAGCUAAGGUAUUGGAAAGGUUAGGCGUAUUACAAGUAUUUUUGGUUUGAUGAUCUUUCCAAUUUAUGAUGUGCAAUUUCCAAUAUUUGUGCAAUGUAACUCUAGGGGAAGGGAAGGAGUUUCUGUGGAGGCAGAGAUGCGGGUGUAAAUGCAUACCAUCCUGAAUCAGAAGCCCUAUCAGAUAAAACAAAUAGUGACUAGCAUUCAGUGAGUCCUUAACAUGUCUAAGAUGACACCCAGAAGCAGAGUUCAUUCCUCUUAACAUCUUCACAGAACUUAGAGUGCCAAGGACUGAACAGGGGUCAACGCUGACCUGAAUGAUUCUCAGGUUUGCCAUUUGAUGAAGCAUCUAUUCAUCUGUUUCUAAAUUGGAUGUUAGUUUUUUCAUUGUUGAGUUUUGAAAGUUCUUCAUACAUUGGAUAUAAAACUUUUAUCAGAUAUGCUUCGCAAAGAUUUUUCUCCCAGUCUGUGGCUUGUCUUUUCACUUUUUUAUUUACUUUUAUUUUUUUUAGGAGUUUCUUUUGAAGAGCAGAAAAAAUGUAAUUUCAAUGCAGACCAAUUGAUCACUUUGUUUUUUUAUGGUCACAUUUUGGGUAUUGCAUCCGUGAAAUUGAUGCCAAAUCAAAGAUCACAAAGCGGGGGUCAGGAUAGGGGCACUUCAGGCCUUAGGCUGCAGCCCCUGUGGGAGGUGUGGAGCUUCUCCCUGUCUGCUUUCUGGGUUGGGAGGGGGUGGUUCUGGACAUGAUCCAGGUCGCAGUGCCCUACAUCCCCAGCCAUUAUAGGAAUCUCUGCAAAGCCCACAGGCCGGUCUCUUCACCUGGGGCUGUGGAAAGCAAACAGGAAAGGAGGAGACUUGAGGGCAUUGAAACCCAAGUCCCGUCCUUGCAAAUAUCCCUAAUAUUCCAUCUGAAUGUUUUCCAGCUCAUCUGAUAUGUCACCAGGUUAACAGAUAUGGAGGUUUCUAUGAGGAUUUGGAGAAGAGUCCAAAUGAUUGGUAAGAUUCUGGACUAGACUAAUGUUAGGAAAGGAAGUGACAUUUAAACAAAUAAACCAAUCAAACUGCAUCAGCUGUGUAAACACAUUGCAGAAGAGUUUUCUAAGCAGAGGGAAUAGCAAGUACAAAGACCGUGAGAUAGAGGAAUAUUGGGCAAUUGACCAACAAAUUGCUCAAAAAAUUUUAGGUUACAAUCAAGAUACAUCAGGCUGGAAAGGGGUUAAAAUUUCAAAAAAGAAAACUGUUUCCAUUAAGGCUUAUAGAAAAUUCCUUGGAAAUCUAUAUGGUGUUGAAUUAAUAAUUCCAGAAUCAACAUUUAAAGUAUUUUAUUUUUCUCUACCAACUUGGAAAUAGGAUUACAUGGGUUACAGCACUGAAAGUAUACUAUAUGGUAUACAGGAUUGAUUCAGACACAUUUAUAUGUCAUACCAUAACACUAAGUUUUGCCAUGGGCUCAAUCCCAUCCCCCCAGACUUUAUUGUCUUAGUAGACAUCAAGGGCUGUGAAGGGAACAUGGACAUUAUCAGUUCUCAAGGUGUAGAUUUCCCAGAACAUCCUCCAUCUUCAAAUUAUGUCUGUCAUUAUAACCAUCUUUGUAGCUACAUAUGUUCACCUCUAAAAGAAAACCCUGCAUAUUCCAGACUAGUGAUUUUUGUCUAAACAGAAAUGAAUGCCCCCAUCAACAAUUGAAAAAAACACGUCUUCUAACUUAGUAAACUUCGUCUUCAAUGCAAAAGAUGGAAUAAAGACACACAGAGCUCCAUUAGAAUGUGGACAACAUGAUGGUCACCUACCAUUCCAAAAGAAGAAAUAAAGCCCUUCUGCUAUUGAUCAGAGAUUUAAGACCAUUACAAACUGCUAGUAAAUAUGGUAUAGCAGGUAUUGCAGUUUACUUCUGAGUCAAUAUGCUUAAAUACUGCUAAACUGUUGUAGACAGUACUCUUGUACAAAUUACUGAAGAUACUUUAUAAAAAUAAAAACUCAUAGUUGUAUAAGAAAACACUAAAUAUAUUUUUUAGUCUCACAUAAUGAUGUUAAAUGACAAGCAUUAUUAAUACACUUUGCUCUUUUGCUUUUGUCCCUGGAAAAUGAUUUGUUUACAAAU